GUAUGCGAGUGCAUGUCCAAAUUAUAACCGUGUUUCCUACGCGAGCGCCACCACUUAAAUAGCUUAACCCUAUUUACUGUUUUCCUACUUUCAUUUGGAAUUUAGUGACCGGAAUUUUUAUUAUCUUUUUCUUUGGUUAUUUAUACAUCAUUGUGAAAAUACCAAAAACGAUGGCGUUAAAAUUCAUGAGCAAAUAAAACACCGUUAAUUUCACACGAUGUAUAUGAUACCAAACAUAUUUUUGAGAAAAAAAGUUGUUCAUAGUGAUGACUUUAACAUUUACAACAACACAUUCCAAAAACAUUGAGAUCGAUCGUUUAUCGUAGGCAAUUUUGGAUUUCCAUCGAAAAUUCGGUCGAGUUCUUCUAUGCAUUUUUCCUGCCAUUCAGGAUUGUUGGCUAAAAGGAAGAGCGUCAUCGCAGUCGCGGUGCCAACCGAAUCCUGCCCAGCUAACAUAAACGUGCAACAUUCUUCGACGAUGUCUUUAUCGGAGAAGCAAGGAUUUUUUUCGUUUAUUUCCACCAUGUAUUCCAGCAACGAUAUUUUUCCUGUCUCUUCUGUCUGAUCAUGAGGGUCAUUCCGAGAAAUAAAACGCAACGUUCAAAAUACGUAUACGCUCAAAAAUAUUUGUACAGCAGUAAGAAGCUUUUCAAUGAGAACUUAUGACUUGUUCGCUAACUUUGGAUACUGGAUUAACUUAACAUUUAUUUCAUAUGUUAAUUGAUAUUGAGAACUUCACCGGACAUCAGCUUUUCAGGUAAAGGAAUUUGCAUUUUGUUUGCACAUUGAAUGAAAAGUUUGUCAACGCUAUUAACAAUAAAAAUCUAUUAACAAGUA